rnacentral:rRNA from 1 species
UAGGGAAUCUUCCGCAAUGGGCGAAAGCUUGACGGAGCAACGCCGCGUGAGUGAUGAAGGUCUUCGGAUCGUAAAACUCUGUUAUUAGGGAAGAACAAAUGUGUAAGUAACUAUGCACGUCUUGACGGUACCUAAUCAGAAAGCCACGGCUAACUACGUGCCAGCAGCCGCGGUAAUACGUAGGUGGCAAGCGUUAUCCGGAAUUAUUGGGCGUAAAGCGCGCGUAGGCGGUUUUUUAAGUCUGAUGUGAAAGCCCACGGCUCAACCGUGGAGGGUCAUUGGAAACUGGAAAACUUGAGUGCAGAAGAAGAAAGUGGAAUUCCAUGUGUAGCGGUGAAAUGCGCAGAGAUAUGGAGGAACACCAGUGGCGAAGGCGACUUUCUGGUCUGUAACUGACGCUGAUGUGCGAAAGCGUGGGGAUCAAACAGG